GUAAGGAGUCUUUCUGCUGUGCCUUUUGCAGCCGGAUGUGCCUAUCUCGUGUUGGCCUUUUUAACCACCAGCGCGCUUGUAACAAACGUGGGUAGAGCCCUCCCCAAAUCUUCGUUCAUGAAGCCUAGCCAUGAUGAUGAUGAUGAUGAUUUAAGUAAGAACACUUCUGGAUAAACAGAAGAAACAGUACAUAGCAAUAAUUGCCUUUCCAGUUUCACUAUUUGAGCCACUACUUUUGUAGCCUACCUGAAGAUGAAGAGCUUGGAGGCUUUCAGGGAGCGGCAAGGGAAUAUGAUCCAAGUUAUUGUCAGUGAUGUAAAGAUGCUGCAGUUCAUUCAGAUCCUAGAGGAUGAAGGAAAAAGGUAAAUAAUAUUCUCCCUUGACUUAGUGGAUUACCAAGUGGCAGGCACCAUAGCUAGGCUGCUCACAAUCAUCUUUAAAAGGUCUUUGAAAGGAGAGGUGCCUGAGGACUGGAGGUAAGCCAGUGCUACCCUCAUCUUCAAAAAGGGCAAGAAGGAUAAUCUGGAGAAUUACCAGCCAAUCAACCUCAUCUCAAGCCCUGGAGACGUGAUGGACCACUUCAUUCUAGAGGCCAUCUCUAUCCACGUGGAUGAUGAGAAGGUGAUCAGGAGUAGUCAGCAUGGAUUCCCUAAAGGUAAAUCAUGCUUAACCAACCUGAUUGCCUUCUAAAAUGAAACAACUACCAGGAUAGAUGAGGGGAGAGCACUGGAUAAUGUAUACCUUGACUUCAGUAAGGCUUUCGACGUCUCUCACAACAGACCCAUAGGCAAACUUAGGAAGUACAGACUGGAUGAGUGAAUAGGGAGGUGGAUUGAUAACUGACUGAAUGGCAGAUCUUAAAGGGUCAUAAUCAAUAGCAUAGGGUCUAGUGGAAGGCCUGUCUAACUUAUUCAUCAAUGACUUGGAUGGAGGAGCAGAUGCCUUCUCAGCAAGUUCAUUGACAACAAAAAUCUGGAAAGGGUGACCAUCACCCCAGAGUGCUGUGCAGUCAUUCAAAAGGACCUCAACAGGCUGGAGAGAUGGGCAGAGAGGAACCACUUGCAAAGGCAAGUGCAAGCUCCUGUACGUGGUGAAGAAUAACCCCACACACCAGCACAGGUUGGGGGACAACUUGCUGGAAAGCAGCUCUGUGAAAAAGGAACUGGGGGUCCUGGUGGACAACAAGCUGUCCAUGAGCCAACAGUGUGCCCCUGUGGCCAAGCAGGGCAAUGGUAUUGUUGGGUACAUGAGGAAAAGCAUUGCAAACAGGUCAAAGGAGGUCAUCCUGCCCCUCUACUCAGCCCUAGUGUGGCCACAUCUGGAGUGCUACAUCCAGUUCUGGGCUCCUCAGUACCAGAGAGACAUGGAGCUUCUGGAGCGGGUCCAGUGGAGUGUUACAAAGAUGAUUAAGAGACUGGAGCAUCACUCUUAUGAGGACAGGCUGCUCUUCUGACCACAUCCUGGAGACAGGAAAAAAAGAUUUUCCCUUUCAAUCCAGACUUACUUUAAAUGCCUCAUUACGUAUUCCUUUGUGACCAAGCCUGUUCUUACUAACAUCAAGGAAUGUUAAGGUAGAUGGUAACUCAGGGAGUUGCCUUAUCCUGUUGUCACGGAGCACCAGCUCCUGAAGUUGGAGCAAUCUUCGGAAGGCAUCCUUGUGAAUAUCCGAUAUAAAGUUUGCAGUCAAAUCAAUUCUUUUUAAGUUGUCUGGCAGAGAAAUAAGAUACAAGAAGCAUGUAAGAAUGUAUUUCCUGAAAUUUCAGAAAAAGAAAAAAGCAAAUGGGUCAUUUAAAUUACAUGUGAAGUGUCUUGAAUCAUAUUCGUUCCUGGCCCACUAUGUGACAGUGU